CCUACGGGAGGCAGCAGUGAGGAAUAUUGGACAAUGGGCGCAAGCCUGAUCCAGCCAUGCCGCGUGCAGGAAGACGGUCCUAUGGAUUGUAAACUGCUUUUAUACAGGAAGAAAUACUUUCUCGUGAGAGAGCUUGACGGUACUGUAAGAAUAAGGAUCGGCUAACUCCGUGCCAGCAGCCGCGGUAAUACGGAGGAUCCAAGCGUUAUCCGGAAUCAUUGGGUUUAAAGGGUCCGUAGGCGGUUUAAUAAGUCAGUGGUGAAAUCUGGUCGCUCAACGAUCAAACGGCCAUUGAUACUGUUAGACUUGAAUUAUUGUGAAGUAACUAGAAUAUGUAGUGUAGCGGUGAAAUGCUUAGAUAUUACAUGGAAUACCAAUUGCGAAGGCAGGUUACUAACAAUGGAUUGACGCUGAUGGACGAAAGCGUGGGGAGCGAACAGGAUUAGAUACCCUGGUAGUCCACGCCGUAAACGAUGGAUACUAGCUGUUGGGCGCAAGUUCAGUGGCUAAGCGAAAGUGAUAAGUAUCCCACCUGGGGAGUACGUUGCAAGAAUGAAACUCAAAGGAAUUGACGG
rnacentral:rRNA from 1 species